rnacentral:rRNA from 1 species
AGAGUUUGAUUAUGGCUCAGGAUGAACGCUAGCUACAGGCUUAACACAUGCAAGUCGAGGGGCAUCAGGGAGAAAGCUUGCUUCUUGCUGGCGACCGGCGCACGGGUGAGUAACGCGUAUCCAACCUUCCCCCCAGUAGGGCAUAGCCCGGCGAAAGUCGGAUUAGUACCCUAUGUUGUGUCAUGAGGACAUCUGAAUAACACCAAAGAUUUAUCGCUGGGGGAUGGGGAUGCGUCCGAUUAGGUUGUUGGCGGGGUAACGGCCCACCAAGCCCGCGAUCGGUAGGGGUUCUGAGAGGAAGGUCCCCCACACUGGUACUGAGACACGGACCAGACUCCUACGGGAGGCAGCAGUGAGGAAUAUUGGUCAAUGGGCGUAAGCCUGAACCAGCCAAGUAAGCGUGCAGGACGACGGCCCUAUGGGUUGUAAACUGCUUUUAUGCGGGGAUAAAGUGAGGUAUGUAUACCUUUUUGUAGGUACCGCAUGAAUAAGGACCGGCUAAUUCCGUGCCAGCCGCCGC